rnacentral:rRNA from 1 species
CAAAAACAUGUCCUUUAGGAAAAAUUAAAGGUCUGACCUGCCCACUGAUAUUAUUAAAGGGCUGCAGUAUUUUGACUGUACAAAGGUAGCAUAAUCAUUAGUUUCUUAAUUAGAAACUGGAAUGAAUGGUUUUACGAAAUAUCAACUGUCUACUGAAUAAAAAAAUUGAAUUUUAUUUUUAAGUUAAAAGGCUUAAAUGGGUUUUGGGGACGAGAAGACCCUAUAGAUCUUUAUAUUGGAAUUAAUAAUAUUUUAUGUAGUGGAGUUAAAAUUAUAUUAUUUUUAAUAUUAUGUUGGGGUGACACGGAAAUAAAGAAACUUUUUGUAUGAAUAUUUAACUUGAAUUGAAGAAUAUAGAAUCCUUAAUUUAGGAAAUAAGAUUAAGAUACCUUAGGGAUAACAGCGUAAUUUUAUUAGGAAGUUCAUAUUUAUAAUGAAGUUUGCGACCUCGAUGUUGGAUUAAGAUUAUUAACUGGUGCAGAAGUUAGUUAAAUAGGUCUGUUCGACCAUUAAAUUCU